rnacentral:lncRNA from 1 species
GUUGGGGUGCAGAGCCGCACGAAGCACUGGGCGGGCAUGGGGGUGGUAGGGUUCUUCUUCCUCUUCUCCUCCUGCUCCCUCCCUUCUCUAAAUCCCUCUUUCAUCUCGUGCUAGGUACAUGAGGCUGGCAGGGCUGACCGACCUAGAGGAGAAGGGAACGCAUUCAGGAGCUGGUACCAAGAGGGGAUCAAAGAAGAGGAACAUGAAGAAGGAGAGACAGAAAUGAACCUGCAGAUAAUCGCAUCCGGCGUUCCCAGCAGCGGCUCCACGCCUCCCCCGCUCCUCCUGCCGUGUG